AGACAGGGGCGGCUUGUCAGACCCAGAGGAAAUGGGGUAGGUUUCCUGCCCUGGAACAUGAGUUCAGGCAGUGACAGUCACAGGGCUGCUGUGCUCCACGGGCGCAGCUCUGUCAGAGCUUCGGGGCCCUGCUCCCCUGAGUCCCACAGGUCCCCUUUCCUCUGCCUUUCUCUGAGCACCCCCCCAUGCCAGUCUUUGAUACAGUGUUCCCUUUAAUUCGCACAGCCACCUGCACAGGUGCCCCGGGUAUUAUGGCCUUCCUGAGAUGGCACUGUCACCUCUCAACAAGCCUCAGUGUCCAACAGAAGAGAAGACUCCAAAGGACUGACUGAAAUGACAAGCUGGAUUGAGCAAAAAAAGGGAUUAAGAGUCAAAUUCAGGAGAAACUAAGGCAG